GACGAACCGUGCGAACGUUGUUCGGAAUCACUGGGCUUAAAGGGCGCGUAGGCGGCGGGGUAAGUCUGGUGUGAAAUCUCGGAGCUCAACUCCGAAACUGCACUGGAUACUGCUCUGCUAGAGGGCUGGAGAGGAGAUCGGAAUUCACGGUGUAGCAGUGAAAUGCGUAGAUAUCGUGAGGAAGACCAGUGGCGAAGGCGGAUCUCUGGACAGCUCCUGACGCUGAGGCGCGAAGGCUAGGGGAGCAAACGGG
rnacentral:rRNA from 1 species